rnacentral:rRNA from 1 species
GACGAACGCUGGCGGCGUGCUUAACACAUGCAAGUCGAACGGGAUCCGGGCUUUCGGGGUUGGGGAGAGUGGCGAACGGGUGAGUAACACGUGAGUAACCUGCCCCCUUCUUUGGGAUAACGUCGGGAAAUCGGCGCUAAUACUGGAUAUUCUUGCUGCAUCGCAUGGUGUGGUUUGGAAAGGGUUUCUGGUGGGGGAUGGGCUCGCGGCCUAUCAGCUUGUUGGUGGGGUGAUGGCCUACCAAGGCUUUGACGGGUAGCCGGCCUGAGAGGGUGUCCGGCCACACUGGGACUGAGACACGGCCCAGACUCCUACGGGAGGCAGCAGUGGGGAAUAUUGCACAAUGGGCGCAAGCCUGAUGCAGCGACGCCGCGUGAGGGAUGACGGCCUUCGGGUUGUAAACCUCUUUCAGUAUGGAACAAGGAUCCUUCUUUUGGGGGGUUUGAGGGUACGUGCAGAAGAAGCGCCGGCUAACUACGUG